AUGAACGCUAGCUACAGGCUUAACACAUGCAAGUCGAGGGGCAGCAUUUUAGUUUGCUUGCAAACUGAAGAUGGCGACCGGCGCACGGGUGAGUAACACGUAUCCAACCUGCCGAUAACUCCGGGAUAGCCUUUCGAAAGAAAGAUUAAUACCGGAUAGUAUACGAAUAUCGCAUGAUAUUUUUAUUAAAGAAUUUCGGUUAUCGAUGGGGAUGCGUUCCAUUAGUUUGUUGGCGGGGUAACGGCCCACCAAGACUACGAUGGAUAGGGGUUCUGAGAGGAAGGUCCCCCACAUUGGAACUGAGACACGGUCCAAACUCCUACGGGAGGCAGCAGUGAGGAAUAUUGGUCAAUGGGCGCGAGCCUGAACCGGCCAAGUAGCGUGAAGGAUGAAGGCUCUAUGGGUCGUAAACUUCUUUUAUAUGGGAAUAAAGUUUUCCACGUGUGGAAUUUUGUAUGUACCAUAUGAAUAAGGAUCGGCUAACUCCGUGCCAGCAGCCGCGGUAAUACGGAGGAUCCGAGCGUUAUCCGGAUUUAUUGGGUUUAAAGGGAGCGUAGGUGGAUUGUUAAGUCAGUUGUGAAAGUUUGCGGCUCAACCGUAAAAUUGCAGUUGAAACUGGCAGUCUUGAGUACAGUAGAGGUGGGCGGAAUUCGUGGUGUAGCGGUGAAAUGCUUAGAUAUCACGAAGAACUCCGAUUGCGAAGGCAGCUCACUAGACUGUCACUGACACUGAUGCUCGAAAGUGUGGGUAUCAAACAGGAUUAGAUACCCUGGUAGUCCACACAGUAAACGAUGAAUACUCGCUGUUUGCGAUAUACAGUAAGCGGCCAAGCGAAAGCAUUAAGUAUUCCACCUGGGGAGUACGCCGGCAACGGUGAAACUCAAAGGAAUUGACGGGGGCCCGCACAAGCGGAGGAACAUGUGGUUUAAUUCGAUGAUACGCGAGGAACCUUACCCGGGCUUAAAUUGCAGAUGAAUUACGGUGAAAGCCGUAAGCCGCAAGGCAUCUGUGAAGGUGCUGCAUGGUUGUCGUCAGCUCGUGCCGUGAGGUGUCGGCUUAAGUGCCAUAACGAGCGCAACCCUUAUCUUUAGUUACUAACAGGUCAUGCUGAGGACUCUAGAGAGACUGCCGUCGUAAGAUGUGAGGAAGGUGGGGAUGACGUCAAAUCAGCACGGCCCUUACGUCCGGGGCUACACACGUGUUACAAUGGGGGGUACAGAAGGCGGCUACCUGGUGACAGGAUGCUAAUCCCAAAAACCUCUCUCAGUUCGGAUCGAAGUCUGCAACCCGACUUCGUGAAGCUGGAUUCGCUAGUAAUCGCGCAUCAGCCAUGGCGCGGUGAAUACGUUCCCGGGCCUUGUACACACCGCCCGUCAAGCCAUGAAAGCCGGGGGUACCUGAAGUACGUAACCGCAAGGAGCGUCCUAGGGUAAAACUGGUAAUUGGGGCU
rnacentral:rRNA from 1 species